rnacentral:rRNA from 1 species
UACGAAGGGGGCUAGCGUUGCUCGGAAUGACUGGGCGUAAAGGGCGCGUAGGCGGCUUGUAUAGUCGGAUGUGAAAUUCCUGGGCUUAACCUGGGGGCUGCAUACGAGACGUAUGGGCUAGAGAGCGAGAGCGGGACGUGGAAUUCCGGGUGUAGUGGUGAAAUGCGUAGAGAUCCGGAGGAACCCCAGAGCGAAGGCGGCGUCCUGGCUCGCAUCUGACGCUCAGACACGACAGCAUGGGGAGCGAACGGG